AGAAAGAAACCAAUCCAAAGCCCACCCAUAAGUUUCUAGUUUAGCUCACUCUCCUUCUACUAAUUCACCCUCAAAUGGCACACUAUGCCAAUCGCCUGGCUGAUAUUGGAAGGGAGGGUUUCCCUCUAGUUAACAGAUUUUAUGGUAGAGGGACAUCGGGUCAAGCACCAAAGAAGCAAUACAAUGUCCCAAAGCAGUAUGCUUCCGUUCCCAGCGAUGAGAAGGUAAUCGAUAGCAAGAAGGCCGCCAAAAAAUACAAUGGAAUGGUGGUCACGAAGCACUACUGAGAAGUUUGUCGGCUGGCGUUUCUAUGUUCUAGCUCUGUAAACAUGUAAAGGUUCAAGUAACUCCCUAGAGGGUAGAGGUAAACCAAAUGAACAAGUCCUUGUCACGGUUUUUGUCAUGUUAGUCGUUUUGAACCCUAGUAUUGUGUUUAUGUAUACCGUUUGUUUUCUAGCUUUCUGAAGUUUAGUUAUAUACUUGGAUGUGUCUAAGCUAGUAAUUAGACCUGUUUUAUACUAAACAUUCCGCCUUUUAUUCCUCUUUUUGGUAAAAUUUAUGGCAAUCUAUGGUAUAACUGUUCACUUCAUUGGUGUAAAAAGAUCUCGAUCAUUUUCAAAGUGAAUGAUCACAACUUAAAUAACUUGCCAAAGUUCUGGUCCAAAGUCAGCCCUAGAACUAGGAGGUCCAUUGGACACUGUGGUUCCACUCAUAAGUUGCUCCUGCAUGAUUCAUUCCUAAUAUUGAGUAAGAUUUGAUAAAGACUUGCCAAAGCCAAAUCAUCCAAUUACGGAAGAUUCGGUCGUAAAUCCAGAAGCAUUUGCAACAUAUUACUACACAGAUGGACCAUUCUUUGAUUUAUUGGUGCAGUUGCGUUCUUUUUCUUGUCUGGAAUGCUAACUAUCCUCUAGGAUCAAACGUCACUAUUAUUGUAGUGGAAAAACAUGUCUUCUAACUUCCAAGAUA
rnacentral:lncRNA from 1 species